AGCAGCCGCGGUAAUUCCAGCUCCAAUAGCGUAUAUUAAAGUUGUUGCAGUUAAAAAGCUCGUAGUUGAAUUUCGGGAUUGGCGCAUCGGUCGUGCCUCACGGGGUAUGAACUGGUGCAGUCAAUUUCUCACCUUCUGGAGAACCGCGAUGUCCUUAAUUGGAUGCCGUGGGGAACCAGGACCUUUACUUUGAAAAAAUUAGAGUGUUUAAAGCAGGCAUUUUUGCUUGAAUACAUUAGCAUGGAAUAAUAAAAUAGGACGGCAUGGUUCUAUUUUGUUGGUUUCUAGGACCACCGUAAUGAUUAAUAGGGAUAGUUGGGGGCAUUAGUAUUCAAUUGUCAGAGGUGAAAUUCUUGGAUUUAUUGAAGACUAACUACUGCGAAAGCAUUUGCCAAGGAUGUUUUCAUUAAUCAAGAACGAAAGUUAGGGGAUCGAAGACGAUCAGAUACCGUCGUAGUCUUAACCAUAAACUAUGCCGACUAGGAAUCAGACGAUGUUAAUUUUUUAAUGACUCGUUUGG
rnacentral:ncRNA from 2 species